rnacentral:lncRNA from 1 species
UAAGCUGCAUGGAAUCGGAAGCGGGUACGCGGAAGCGGAAGCGUUUGGAAUCGUAGAAGCGAGUUUUUAAAAAUAUUUAGGAAUCGGGUACGUGUUGGAAGCGUAUACAUAUAUGUAUUAAUAUAUAUAUAUAUAUAUAUAUAUAUAUCAUAAAAUACCAAACAUAAAAUCAUUUAGAAUAAAUUAGAUUAUAAUCAUGAUAAUAAUCAUAUAAUAAUAAAUUAGUUAAAAACGAAAUUUCAAAACCUAAAAAAAUAGGCGUUAAAGGCUUAAAGCAAAGAAGAAAUUCUUUGAGUUUUUAUAAACUUAGCAUUAUAUAUAUGUAAUAUAUAACAUAUGUUUAAUAUUAUAUAUUAGUCUUAAAUAUAUGACACAAAAAUAUAUUAAUCUAAAAUAUAAAAUUUGAAGUAUUUAAAUUACAAUAUACAAAAGUGGAAUCACAAUUAUUAUAGAAGGUAAAACAAAAGUCUUAUGAUUUUAAAAAAUAAAUUAAAAAGUUAUAUUUUGUAUUCAAGAAAAUAAGUUAGAAAGAAAAUUAGGUGUUUAAAACAUAAUUGAGUGGAAGCAAAAAUUGGGCUUCUCUGACCAAACAUAAAUUGGCCCAAAACAUGGAAAAUUAAAAAACGCACGUGGAUGAGAAUUAGUAGUCUUCUACCUUUGGAUCUACUUUUAUAAAACCACCGCAACGAGACGAAACUGACUACGAUUCCGAUAUAAAUUAAUCACGCUUCCAAUACAGAACCGCACGAUUCUAAAUCGUUUCCAAUCGCCUUUUUGUGGGAACCGCACUUCCCUUGCGAUUCCAAGCGAUUCCGACCGCUUCCGUUUCCGAUUCCGAUUCCGGAGCGGGAAUCGGAGCUUCACCGGCGAUUCCGUGCAUCGUAGGUUAUAUAUGUAUCAGUUUGGUAACGUAACUGGUAAGAUCUUGUGCAUAAAAAGACUAACUUCACGAUUCACGAACGUCAAAUUAAUGAAUAUUUGGCUUUCACAUGGAUUCAUCUAUAUUAUUUAAUAUUGUAUUAUAAAAUGAAUCAUGAAACGUCGAAAGUGUUACAAAAUUAUAACGGAAUAAACUUUUAUAUGUGAAUAUAAGUGUAUAAUGGAAAGAUAAUAUUUUAUAGAAAGAAAUAAGAGAACUAUAGAGAGAAGGAGCAGACCAGUGGAGAGGAAAACAACAUAAAGUAGAACUCUUA